UACGGAGGAUCCGAGCGUUGUCCGGAAUCAUUGGGCGUAAAGGGUACGUAGGCGGAUAAGCAAGUUAGAAGUGAAAUCCUAUAGCUCAACUACAGUAAGCUUUUAAAACUGCUCAUCUUGAGGAAUGGAAGGGAAAGUGGAAUUCCUAGUGUAGCGGUGAAAUGCGCAGAGAUUAGGAGGAAUACCGGUGGCGAAGGCGACUUUCUGGCCAUAAACUGACGCUGAGGUGCGAAAGCGUGGGUAGCAAAAAGG
rnacentral:rRNA from 1 species